rnacentral:rRNA from 1 species
UAAUCAUUUAUCUUUUUAUUAAAGAUCGGUAUGAAUGAAGGGACGACUGAUAAGCUAUUUCAAAAAUAUUCACUUGAAUUUGAUAUUUACUUUAAAAAGAGUAAAUAUUUAGGAAGACGACAAGACCCUGUAAAACUUUACUUUAAUUUAAAAUUAAAACUUAGUAAGCUAUUUUAGUAAAAGUUAAGCUGGGGCGGCAACAAAAUAUGCUUUUGUAAAAAUAACACGUAUUUGUGAAAAUAUAGAACUUUUUAAAAGUUAGAACAAGUUACUUAAGGGAUAACAGCACAAUUCUUUCAGAUAGUUCUUAUUGAAGAAAGGGAUUUGUGACCUCGAUGUUGAAUUGAAGAGCCUAAUUUAAGCAGAAAUAAAUUUAGGGGGUCUGUUCGACCUUUUAUUCUUCA